AAUGGCCCAACAUCCUGUUGUGCAACUUUCUGGAGCCUCUAGGUUAGAGUGUCCCCUGUAGCGGUCCCAGGAGCCCCAGGGUGGUUGGCGUGGGUGCCCAUGAAGGAUGAGGAGGACCAGGCUCCGGGGGCUCCUCUGGGUGCUCUUCGUCGCAGAAAUCCAAGCUGCAACUGUACCAGACGAGGAAGAGUUUAUCCUGGCAGAGGGCCAGACCCUGGAAGUGAGCUGUCCUGUCACCUUGCACACAUAUUCCAACAGCCGGAAGGCCUGGCAAAGGGUGAAAGAUAAAGGGGAGGUCCAGACGCUGGCACUCACACAGAGGGUCUCGGGGGAAUUCAGUGAAGUCCAGAAUGGGCGUUACUUCCUAAAAGACAUCCCCUCUGAGGGCAUACUGCAUGUCCGAAUGACCGACCUUCGAGUGGAGGACUCAGGACUGUAUCGAUGUGUGAUCUACCUAAAUUCCGAGAACUCCAUCACGUUGUUCCACCCUAUCCGCCUGGUGGUGACCAAGAAUCCCUCUGGCACUCCUGCCUCAGAUGACAGAACUACCCAGAUCGUGACUCCGACUCCCACCCGUCCUCCUUUCAUCACCGAGGCCUGGAGUAAGCUCCCCACCAGCCCCACGGCCGUGACCCGUCUCCCCUCGUUGUCAACUGCCAGCCUCUCCUCUCCUGGCCUCGGAGUCACCCUCACAAAUGUGACAGAUGUCCCCAGAGUCCAUCAUCUUUGCCCACAUUCCUACUAAAGGCUGCACUCCCUUCACCUGGCCGCUUCAUCUGUUAACUAACAUGAACUAGUCUAUGAGUCAGAGUCCCAUCGGGAAAGCAAAGCAGAAGCCACUGAGCUGUCUGGAAAAGAGGGUCUCCAGGAUCAGCAUUGUCAUUCCCGUGGUGUGUGGACUCCUGAGUAAGAGCCUGGUCUUCAUUGUUCUGUUUGCUGUCACGCAGAGGUCAUUUGCACCCUAGGCCCAGGACUCCACGAGAAUGACCUGGGACCUGAUCCACAUCCAUCUGGCAGUUGUGCCCGAAGAGGAGUAUGUGUGUGGGGUGGGGGGGCGGUGCACCAUGUCAUGCGUUGAAUCUGUAACACAGGUGAUUUCUAAGGCUUGGGAUCCUACCUUCUUGGCACUGCUAACUCCCCUCAUAUCACCGAUAACCUUGAGUGUGUGCUUGGCCCCCUCAGAGGAGAAAAGACAGCCACAAACAUGUCCAUUCCUCCAGCGGCUCAGGGUUUGCAUUCAAUAAAGACACUUCAGGAUGCUA